rnacentral:rRNA from 1 species
UGAGGAAUAUUGCACAAUGGGCGAAAGCCAGAUGCAGCAACGCCGCGUGAGUGAAGAAGGCCUUCGGGUUGUAAAACUCUUUUCCAGGGGAAGAGGAAGGACGGUACCCUGGGAAUAAGCCUCGGCUAACUACGUGCCAGCAGCCGCGGUAAUACGUAGGAGGCGAGCGUUAUCCGGAUUUAUUGGGCGUAAAGGGCAAGUAGGCGGUUGUCAAAGUCGUGCGUGACAGAUCCCGGCUCAACUGGGGAAGGUCGUUCGAAACGAGGGGACUGGAGGG